rnacentral:rRNA from 1 species
AGAGUUUGAUCCUGGCUCAGAUUGAACGCUGGCGGAAUGCUUUACACAUGCAAGUCGAGCGGCAGCGCGGGGGCAACCCUGGCGGCGAGCGGCGAACGGGUGAGUAACACAUCGGAACGUACCCCGUCGUGGGGGAUAACGAGUCGAAAGAUUCGCUAAUACCGCAUACGACCUGAGGGUGAAAGCGGGGGACCUGCGAGGGCCUCGCGCGAUGGGAGCGGCCGAUGUCCGAUUAGCUAGUUGGUGGGGUAAGAGCCUACCAAGGCGACGAUCGGUAGCUGGUCUGAGAGGAUGAUCAGCCACACUGGGACUGAGACACGGCCCAGACUCCUACGGGAGGCAGCAGUGGGGAAUUUUGGACAAUGGGCGCAAGCCUGAUCCAGCCAUUCCGCGUGAGUGAAGAAGGCCUUCGGGUUGUAAAGCUCUUUCGGCCGGGAAGAAAUCGGGCAGGUGAAUAAUCUGCCUGGAUGACGGUACCGGAAGAAGAAGCACCGGCUAACUACGUGCCAGCAGCCGCGGUAAUACGUAGGGUGCGAGCGUUAAUCGGAAUUACUGGGCGUAAAGCGUGCGCAGGCGGCUUUGUAAGACAGGUGUGAAAUCCCCGGGCUUAACCUGGGAAUGGCGCUUGUGACUGCAAGGCUUGAGUUCGGCAGAGGGGGGUGGAAUUCCACGUGUAGCAGUGAAAUGCGUAGAGAUGUGGAGGAACACCGAUGGCGAAGGCAGCCCCCUGGGUCGCGACUGACGCUCAUGCACGAAAGCGUGGGGAGCAAACAGGAUUAGAUACCCUGGUAGUCCACGCCCUAAACGAUGUCGACUAGGUGUUGGGGAAGGAGACUUCUUUAGUACCGUAGCUAACGCGUGAAGUCGACCGCCUGGGGAGUACGGUCGCAAGAUUAAAACUCAAAGGAAUUGACGGGGACCCGCACAAGCGGUGGAUGAUGUGGAUUAAUUCGAUGCAACGCGAAGAACCUUACCCGGGUUUGACAUGCACGGAUUAGCUCCUGGAAACAGGAGUAACAGCCGCAAGGUUGGAACGUGCACAGGUGCUGCAUGGCUGUCGUCAGCUCGUGCUGUGAAGUGUUUGGUUAAGUCCAUUAACGAGCGCAACCCUUGUCGUUAGUUGCUAACAGGUAAUGCUGAGGACUCUAGCGAGACUGCCGGCGUCAAGCCGGAGGAAGGUGGGGAUGACGUCAAGUCCUCAUGGCCCUUACAUCCGGGGUUGCAAACGUGCUACAAUGGUGCAUACAGAGCGAAGCAAGGCCGCAAGGCGGAGCAAAUCGCAAAAAAUGCACCCCAGUUCGGAUUGAAGGCUGCAACCCGCCUUCAUGAAGUCGGAAUCGCUAGUAAUCGGAGAUCAGCUACGCUCCGGUGAAUACGUUCCUGAGCCUUGUACACACCGCCCGUCAAGUCAUGGGAGCCGGUAGAGCCCGAAGCCGCCACAAUACUGUGGUGUCUACGGCAAGAUCGGUGACUGGGACUAAGUCGUAACAAGGUA